AUUGAACGCUGGCGGCAGGCUUAACACAUGCAAGUCGAACGAGUGGCGGACGGGUGAGUAAUGCUUGGGAAUCUAGCUUAUGGAGGGGAUAAACUACGGGAAACGUAAGCAAAUCCCGCGUACCAUAGGUUGAGCCAAAGUGGGAUUAGGUAGUUGGGGAGGUAAAGGCUCACCAAGCCGACGAUCUCUAGCUGGUCUGAGAGGAUGACCAGCCACACUGGGACUGAGACACGGCCCAGACUCCUACGGGAGGCAGCAGUGGGGAAUAUUGCGCAAUGGGGGCAACCUGACGCAGCCAUGCCGCGUGAAUGAAGAAGGCCUUCGGGUUGUAAAGUUCUUUCGGUAGCGAGGCGUUAACUACAGAAGAAGCACCGGCUAACUCCGUGCCAGCAGCCGCGGUAAUAC
rnacentral:rRNA from 1 species